rnacentral:rRNA from 1 species
CAGUCGCCACGGGAAUACGUAGGUGGCAAGCGUUAUCCGGAAUUAUUGGGCGUAAAGCGCGCGUAGGCGGUUUUUUAAGUCUGAUGUGAAAGCCCACGGCUCAACCGUGGAGGGUCAUUGGAAACUGGAAAACUUGAGUGCUGAAGAGGAAAGUGGAAUUCCAUGUGUAGCGGUGAAAUGCGCAGAGAUAUGGAGGAACACCAGUGGCGAAGGCGACUUUCUGGUCUGUAACUGACGCUGAUGUGCGAAAGCGUGGGGAUCAAACAGGAUUAGAUACCCCAGUAGUCCCUGUCUCUUAUAC